AGCAGCCGCGGUAAUUCCAGCUCCAAUAGCGUAUAUUAAAGUUGUUGCAGUUAAAAAGCUCGUAGUUGAAUUUCGGGAUUUGUCAGUUAGUUGGUCGGGCUUUACUGUCCGUACUGACUUGAUGAAUUCUUACCUUCUGAAUAACCAAACUCAAUCACUGAGUUGGGGAAACAGAUCUAUUACCUUGAAAAAAUUAGAGUGCUUAAAGCAGGCUAGUGCUUGAAUAGAUUAGCAUGGAAUAAUAAAAUAGGACGGCAUGGUUCUAUUUUGUUGGUUUCUAGGAUCACCGUAAUGAUUAAUAGGGAUAGUUGGGGGCAUUAGUAUUCAAUUGUCAGAGGUGAAAUUCUUGGAUUUAUUGAAGACUAACUUCUGCGAAAGCAUUUGUCAAGGAUGUUUUCAUUAAUCAAGAACGAAAGUUAGGGGAUCGAAGACGAUCAGAUACCGUCGUAGUCUUAACCAUAAACUAUGCCGACUAGGAAUUGGACGAAGUUAAUUUUUUAAUGACUCGUUCAGCACCUUA
rnacentral:rRNA from 1 species